rnacentral:rRNA from 1 species
ACAUGCAAGUAGAACGCACAGGAUGCACCGUAGUUUACUACACCGUAUUCUGUGAGUUGCGAACGGGUGAGUAACGCGUAGGUAACCUGCCUGGUAGCGGGGGAUAACUAUUGGAAACGAUAGCUAAUACCGCAUAAGAACAUUUACUGCAUGGUAGAUGUUUAAAAGGUGCAAAAGCAUCACUACCAGAUGGACCUGCGUUGUAUUAGCUAGUUGGUGAGGUAACGGCUCACCAAGGCAACGAUACAUAGCCGACCUGAGAGGGUGAUCGGCCACACUGGGACUGAGACACGGCCCAGACUCCUACGGGAGGCAGCAGUAGGGAAUCUUCGGCAAUGGGGGGAACCCUGACCGAGCAACGCCGCGUGAGUGAAGAAGGUUUUCGGAUCGUAAAGCUCUGUUGUUAAGGAAGAACGUGUGUGAGAGUGGAAAGUUCACACAGUGACGGUACUUAACCAGAAAGGGACGGCUAACUACGUGCCAGCAGCCGCGGUAAUACGUAGGUCCCGAGCGUUGUCCGGAUUUAUUGGGCGUAAGGCGAGCGCAGGCGGUUAGAUAAGUCUGAAGUGAAAGGCAGUGGCUCAACCAUUGUAGGCUUUGGAAACUGUUUAACUUGAGUGCAGAAGGGGAGAGUGGAAUUCCAUGUGUAGCGGUGAAAUGCGUAGAUAUAUGGAGGAACACCGGUGGCGAAAGCGGCUCUCUGGUCUGUAACUGACGCUGAGGCUCGAAAGCGUGGGGAGCGAACAGGAUUAGAUACCCUGGUAGUCCACGCCGUAAACGAUGAGUGCUAGGUGUUAGGUCCUUUCCGGGACUUAGUGCCGCAGCUAACGCAUUAAGCACUCCGCCUGGGG